rnacentral:lncRNA from 1 species
CUCUGGCAACACACGUUGCAGCUCACUCAUAUUUGGCUCACUCGAGUUUCCUUGUGGGUGUGUUGUUAUUCUGCUCCGAAUUGUAUCUUGUUGGCUGUGGGGAAAGCGACUAGCCUUGCACAUUUUAAGCUUCACGGAGUUCCCUGUCUUUAUUCAAGGAUAAAUAGGUUGAGAAACUAAAAAGACAAAAUGGAUCAGAUUACCGCUGUGCUGGAGCCUGCAAAGCAGUUCACCAAGGACUCCAUCCGCCUUGUCAAACGGUGCACAAAGCCAGACAGGAAAGAAUUCCAGAAGAUUGCCUUUGCCACUGCCAUUGGAUUUGCCAUCAUGGGCUUCAUUGGCUUCUUUGUGAAGCUCAUCCACAUUCCCAUCAACAACAUCAUUGUGGGCUCGUAGUGCGUUGGCCGAUUGUUGGAUAAAGAUGCUGCACGUUCCACCACAUCCGCCGGCGGCGGCGGCAGGCGCGCCGCGGUGGGACGCGCCUCCGUGCCGGCGGUGCUGGCCCGGCCGCCGGGCCGCUGUGGAAUAAUUUAUAUACUGCGUCCAUGUGACCUCUCAUGUUGUUCACUUUGCUCCGGGGCCGUUCGUGGGGUGACGAUAAUACAUACGACUGUUGUAAA